rnacentral:rRNA from 1 species
CUCUGUGACUCCUACGGGAGGCAGCAGUGGGGGAAUAUUGCACAAUGGGCGCAAGCCUGAUGCAGCCAUGCCGCGUGUAUGAAGAAGGCCUUCGGGUUGUAAAGUACUUUCAGCAGUGAGGAAGGCGGGUACGUUAAUAGCGUAUUCGUUUGACGUUAGCUGCAGAAGAAGCACCGGCUAACUCCGUGCCAGCAGCCGCGGUAAUACGGAGGGUGCGAGCGUUAAUCGGAAUUACUGGGCGUAAAGCGCAUGCAGGUGGUUUGUUAAGUCAGAUGUGAAAGCCCCGGGGCUCAACCUCGGAAUUGCAUUUGAAACUGGCAGACUAGAGUACUGUAGAGGGGGUAGAAUUUCAGGUGUAGCGGUGAAAUGCGUAGAGAUCUGAAGGAAUACCGGUGGCGAAGGCGGCCCCCUGGACAGAUACUGACACUCAGAUGCGAAAGCGUGGGGAGCAAACAGGAUUAGAUACCCUGGUAG